GUUCUUCAUUAAAAAUUCCGGUGGUCACGGAUUGGCUCGCGUCCCAUUAGCUAGUCGGCGGGGUAACGGCCCACCGAGGCGACGAUGGGUAGGGGUUCUGAGAGGAAGGUCCCCCACAAUGGAACUGAGACACGGUCCAUACUCCUACGGGAGGCAGCAGUGAGGAAUAUUGGUCAAUGGGCGGAAGCCUGAACCAGCCAUGCCGCGUGCAGGAAGACGGCCCUAUGGGUUGUAAACUGCUUUUGAGCGGGAGCAAUAAGGGUGUCGAGGACAUCCGAUGAGAGUACCGUUCGAAUAAGCAUCGGCUAACUCCGUGCCAGCAGCCGCGGUAAUACGGAGGAUGCGAGCGUUAUCCGGAUUUAUUGGGUUUAAAGGGUGCGUAGGCUGUUGUGUAAGUCAGGGGUGAAAUGCCGUCGCUCAACGACGGAGCUGCCUUUGAUACUGCAUGGCUGGAGUGCGGAUGCCGUUGGAGGAAUGAGUGGUGUAGCGGUGAAAUGCUUAGAUAUCACUCAGAACACCGAUUGCGAAGGCAUCUGACGAAUCCGUAACUGACGCUGAGGCACGAAAGCGUGGGGAUAGA
rnacentral:rRNA from 1 species